GGAUUAGAUACCCUGGUAGUCCUAGCUGUAAACGAUGGAUACUAGACGUAGGAACUGGAUUGACGGUUUCUGUGUCGUAGCUAACGCAUUAAGCACUCCGCCUGGGGAGUACGGUCGCAAGAUUAAAACUCAAAGGAAUUGACGGGGGCCCGCACAAGCGGUGGAGCACGUGGUUUAAUUCGACGCAACGCGAAGAACCUUACCAGCUCUUGACAUUGCUAAGUCGCGAGUUUUAGAGAUAAAACUCUUCAGUUCGGCUGGACUUAGUACAGGUGCUGCAUGGCUGUCGUCAGCUCGUGCCG
rnacentral:rRNA from 1 species